rnacentral:rRNA from 1 species
UACGGAGGAUCCGAGCGUUAUCCGGAAUUAUUGGGUUUAAAGGGUGCGUAGGCGGCCAUUUAAGUCAGCGGUGAAAUUUUGCAGCUUAACUGUAACAGUGCCGUUGGUACUGUUUGGCUAGGGAUUUGGUUGUAGUGUGCGGAAUGUGUGGUGUAGCGGUGAAAUGCUUAGAUAUCACACAGAACACCGAUUGCGAAGGCAGCACACUAAGUCAUUAUUGACGCUGAGGCACGAAAGUGUGGGGAUCAAACAGGAUUAGAUA